rnacentral:rRNA from 1 species
UACAGAGGUCUCAAGCGUUGUUCGGAUUCAUUGGGCGUAAAGGGUGUGUAGGUGGCGCGCUAAGUCGGGUGUGAAAUUUCGGAGCUUAACUCCGAAACUGCAUUCGAUACUGGCGUGCUUGAGGACUGGAGAGGAGACUGGAAUUCACGGUGUAGCGGUGAAAUGCGUAGAUAUCGAUAAGGAAGACCAGUGGCGAAGGCGGGUCUCGUGGACAGUUCCUGACGCUGAGGCACGAAGGCCAGGGGGAGCAAACGGG